rnacentral:tRNA from 1 species
UCCUGGUGGCUCAGACGGUAAAGCGUCUGCCUGCAAUGCGGGAGACCUGGGUUCGAUUCCUGGGUUGGGAA